AUGAACGCUGGCGGCGUGCCUAAUACAUGCAAGUCGAGCGAACAGAUGAGGAGCUUGCUCCUCUGACGUUAGCGGCGGACGGGUGAGUAACACGUGGAUAACCUACCUAUAAGACUGGGAUAACUUCGGGAAACCGGAGCUAAUACCGGAUAAUAUAUUGAACCGCAUGGUUCAAUAGUGAAAGACGGUUUUGCUGUCACUUAUAGAUGGAUCCGCGCCGCAUUAGCUAGUUGGUAAGGUAACGGCUUACCAAGGCAACGAUGCGUAGCCGACCUGAGAGGGUGAUCGGCCACACUGGAACUGAGACACGGUCCAGACUCCUACGGGAGGCAGCAGUAGGGAAUCUUCCGCAAUGGGCGAAAGCCUGACGGAGCAACGCCGCGUGAGUGAUGAAGGUCUUCGGAUCGUAAAACUCUGUUAUUAGGGAAGAACAAAUGUGUAAGUAACUAUGCACGUCUGGACGGUACCUAAUCAGAAAGCCACGGCUAACUACG
rnacentral:rRNA from 1 species